rnacentral:rRNA from 2 species
CAGGUUGAUAUUCCUGUACCACCUAUAAUCGUUUUAAUCGAUGGGGGGACGCAGUAGGAUAGGCGAAGCGUGCGAUUGGAUUGCACGUCUAAGCAGUAAGGCUGAGUAUUAGGCAAAUCCGGUACUCGUUAAGGCUGAGCUGUGAUGGGGAGAAGACAUUGAGUCUUCGAGUCGUUGAUUUCACACUGCCGAGAAAAGCCUCUAGAUAGAAAAUAGGUGCCCGUACCGCAAACCGACACAGGUAGUCAAGAUGAGAAUUCUAAGGUGAGCGAGCGAACUCUCGUUAAGGAACUCGGCAAAAUGACCCCGUAACUUCGGGAGAAGGGGUGCUCUUUAGGGUUAACGCCCAGAAGAGCCGCAGUGAAUAGGCCCAAGCGACUGUUUAUCAAAAACACAGGUCUCUGCUAAACCGUAAGGUGAUGUAUAGGGGCUGACGCCUGCCCGGUGCUGGAAGGUUAAGAGGAGUGGUUAGCUUCUGCGAAGCUACGAAUCGAAGCCCCAGUAAACGGCGGCCGUAACUAUAACGGUCCUAAGGUAGCGAAAUUCCUUGUCGGGUAAGUUCCGACCCGCACGAAAGGCGUAACGAUUUGGGCACUGUCUCAACGAGAGACUCGGUGAAAUCAUAGUACCUGUGAAGAUGCAGGUUACCCGCGACAGGACGGAAAGACCCCGUGGAGCUUUACUGUAGCCUGAUAUUGAAAUUCGGCACAGCUUGUACAGGAUAGGUAGGAGCCUUUGAAACGUGAGCGCUAGCUUACGUGGAGGCGCUGGUGGGAUACUACCCUAGCUGUGUUGGCUUUCUAACCCGCACCACUUAUCGUGGUGGGAGACAGUGUCAGGCGGGCAGUUUGACUGGGGCGGUCGCCUCCUAAAAGGUAACGGAGGCGCUCAAAGGUUCCCUCAGAAUGGUUGGAAAUCAUUCAUAGAGUGUAAAGGCAUAAGGGAGCUUGACUGCGAGACCUACAAGUCGAGCAGGGUCGAAAGACGGACUUAGUGAUCCGGUGGUUCCGCAUGGAAGGGCCAUCGCUCAACGGAUAAAAGCUACCCCGGGGAUAACAGGCUUAUCUCCCCCAAGAGUUCACAUCGACGGGGAGGUUUGGCACCUCGAUGUCGGCUCAUCGCAUCCUGGGGCUGUAGUCGGUCCCAAGGGUUGGGCUGUUCGCCCAUUAAAGCGGUACGCGAGCUGGGUUCAGAACGUCGUGAGACAGUUCGGUCCCUAUCCGUCGUGGGCGUAGGAAAUUUGAGAGGAGCUGUCCUUAGUACGAGAGGACCGGGAUGGACAUACCUCUGGUGUACCAGUUGUCGUGCCAACGGCAUAGCUGGGUAGCUAUGUGUGGACGGGAUAAGUGCUGAAAGCAUCUAAGCAUGAAGCCCCCCUCAAGAUGAGAUUUCCCAACUUCGGUUAUAAGAUCCCUCAAAGAUGAUGAGGUUAAUAGGUUCGAGGUGGAAGCAUGGUGACAUGUGGAGCUGACGAAUACUAAUCGAUCGAAGACUUAAUCAA